rnacentral:rRNA from 1 species
GACGUAGGGCGCGAGCGUUGUCCGGAUUUAUUGGGCGUAAAGAGCUCGUAGGCGGCUUGUCGCGUCGACUGUGAAAACCCGCGGCUCAACUGCGGGCCUGCAGCCGAUACGGGCAGGCUAGAGUUCGGUAGGGGAGACUGGAAUUCCUGGUGUAGCGGUGAAAUGCGCAGAUAUCAGGAGGAACACCGGUGGCGAAGGCGGCAUCCUGGACCGGCAUUGACGCUGAGGCGCGAAAGCUAGGGGAGCAAACGGG